rnacentral:lncRNA from 1 species
GCCCUGUGGUCUGCUCUCUAUAAAUAGCAGCUUCUUCGUGGGUAACCCAGGGCUGCCUCUGAAAUUGCCAGACUUGGAAAUUACAUCAACCCAGUUCAAUAGGUACUUAUCGUGUAGCUCAAGAGAAGGGUGCUCUCAAACAGCUUAGAUGACAAGUAGGGAAGAACCCAGGAGUCUGGAGAGGUAGCUUAGAAGAAGGUUGGCCUUUGUGUUUUGAAGAUUUCUCUCUAAGAUCUAAGCACUGGACCCCAAAACAAAGGAUAAGUAGAACCCAGGUGCUAGGUGGGAAAAUAUAGGUCUAGAAAAGUGGAAUCCUUCUCAUUCCACACUGGUGAUUGAUUUGGUGAUUAGUCUAAUCCAAAUGUGGACUUGUGUUCCCUGGGCCGGUGACAGUUGUGGGUAGAGGCAUAUGACCCUGUAAGAAAUGAAAAUCGGGUGCAGGAAUGAGGGAAGGGGAGAAGGGGGAAGGUUUCUGGGAGAGGCUAAAACUGAUAAAAUGUUCCUCAAUCAUUGUUAUGUUUCAGAUAACAGAUACCACUUGAACAUUAAGCAGAAAAAGAUUUAAUUUAGGAAAUGAAGGGCUUAAAAAUUCAUGGAUGGGCUAGUAGAGCAGGUCCUAGGCUACGCCUCCAGCAGCAACCAGCGGAACACAGCAGAAAUGUCAGCUGGGGUGGCUGCUACUUGUGUCACAAGCAAGAAGCUGGGGGAAUCAGGAAGCCACCACAGUAAGUGUGGCUCCAGAACUACACCACUUUACCUACGUCCGGGGAUCAGGAAACUACCUCCAGGGCCAGAUCGUACCCACUUGAUCUGCCUGGGCAAAAAUGGAGGCUCUACUUCCUGCUUCUCUGCACUCAGGAAGCCAGUGACAGGGCACUGGGGCUUCUGCUGGUAGUGCAGCAAAAGCUCAGCGCCUGCAUGACCACGUUUGCCAGGAAACAGCAGAUGAAGCAGACCACAGCCUCUUAGAUUUCAAGAGGGUGUGUCCGAUGUGCACUCUUCCACAGGGGAGCAGCUCUGUUAGGACAACACUCCUGCCUCCCUCCGUCCCUUCACACACUCCUUCCCUGGGUGGGGGAGUGACACAUCUGACUGGUUCACCUAGGUUUAUGCCCUUCCCAGUGGAGUGCUACAGGACCACAUACAUUUCUGUCUGAAAUCUUGAUGAAAAGGGAUCUGGGAUGACCCUCCUAAGAGGCUCAAAUCCUCCUUGAAAUCUAGACUAGCCCUGAGCUAACAUCCGUGCCCAUCUUCCUCUACUUUAUAUGUGGAACACCUACAACAGCAUGGCUUGCCAAGUGGUGCCAUGUCCACACCCAGAAUCCAAACCAGCGAACCCCAGGCCGCUGAAGUGGAAUGUGGGAACUUAACCACUGCGCCACCGGGCCAGCCCCCAGUUAAUCACUUUUAUGGAAUAAUAAAAGGUGCAUAAAAUGUCAGUGCUGCCCUGCCCAGAAACCCCUCCCCAGCAUGGAGUGUUACUGAAACAGCUUUCAUUCAGUUUAGGAGUCACCCUACCAAGCUGGUAUGACAUGAAUUAAGAAGGUGAGCUGCAAAGGAAGAAGCUGAGAGCUGCUUAUUUCAAGAUAGUUGUCUCUAAGCCCAGCCAACAGAACAAGGCGCCAAGGGAUAAAAGUUAAGUAGGAUGAGAUCUGCAAUAAAGCCAAAGAUGUGGGUUCUAUUUCUGAUUUUGUUAUCAUUUUGACCUUUUAGAAUGCAGAAGAAAUGAAAAUGUUUGUCUUAUAUCGACCUGCCCAGGAUGUAAUAGAGAAGAACAAGACUCAAGCAGAGAAAUGGAGACUUCCCUUAAGAAAUGCAUUAACUAAAUGUCAGCUAUACCCACUUCCUAAUGUGGUUCACUGGGAUGUCAGUGAAGGAAAUCAUGGCAGCUACUUCUGAAUUUAUUGAUCCCAAUUUUGGAAAGAGUUUCCAAGAGAAAAGGACAGCCAGUGUCACAAGUUGGCCAUCUAUUUGCAUCUGGAAAGUUGGAAGCUAUCUAGCUUGCUGGCCUGCUUGACUGUACCACGUGACAUGGAUAAUAGCGACGCUCUGGCAACACAGGAUGGUUCAAUUCUCAGUCAAUAUUCACUGAGCCCACACAACUGCCCAGGCAUCAUAGAAAGAGUUGGCACAGUCCUAGCCUUUGAUGGAUUUGUAAUCUAAAGUUACAUUUAAAAGAAGAACUUAAAAAUAUGCAGGUUAAUUCUACUCCCUAAAUAUUUAUUGAUUGUCAUUAACUUGGACCAUUAAACAGCUAUCUUUUUGAAAACCGUCUCUCUCUGCCCUCACUAAUGGAGUGUUCUCCAUAAUAGGCUUUUUCUCUUUCAUAAAUGUUCUUCUAUGGCUUUUCCCUUUAAACUAAACUAAGGAAAUAUUAUCAUAACUGAAAUCUUUCCCUAUUCAGCUAGAAAUGAGCAUUUAGCUUAAAACAAAUUGCAGGCC